UACGUAGGGCGCAAGCGUUAUCCGGAAUUAUUGGGCGUAAAGAGCUCGUAGGCGGUUUGUCGCGUCUGCCGUGAAAGUCCGGGGCUCAACUCCGGAUCUGCGGUGGGUACGGGCAGACUAGAGUGAUGUAGGGGAGACUGGAAUUCCUGGUGUAGCGGUGAAAUGCGCAGAUAUCAGGAGGAACACCGAUGGCGAAGGCGGGUCUCGUGGGCAUUAACUGACGCUGAGGAGCGAAAGCAUGGGGAGCGAACAGG
rnacentral:rRNA from 1 species